rnacentral:lncRNA from 1 species
GUUUGGAGGUCUUUGGGGCCGCGCCGCGCGGGGGCGCUCUGCCGCUUCGUUUAUGGCGCGGUGAACCGGAAGCGCCUCCACCGGAAGUGCCCCCACCGGAAGCCGGAAGCUGAGGGGUGCGGCGCGGACGGAAGUGAGUGUGGGGCGGGAAAUGUGGGGCGGUGUGCGCGGAGUUGUGGGGCUGAAAGCUCCGCCCCAUCGCAGAGGGGAGGUGUGGGGCGGCCCCAUAUCUAUGGGGCAGGGCGCUAUGGGGCGGGACGCUAUGGGGCACAGCUCUAUGGGGCAGUCCUAUGUUUCCAAGUCAGGGCUCUAUGGGGCAGCCCCACAUGUAUGGGGCAGGGCUCUCUGAGGCAGGGUUCUAUGGGGCAGAGUUCUAUGGGGCAGCCCCACAUCUGUGGGGCAGGGCUCUAUGGGGCAGAGCUCUAUGGAGCAGCCCCACAUCUAUGGGGCAGGGCUCUAUGGGGUAGACCCACAUCUAUGGGGCUAGAGCUCUAUGGGGCAGCCCCACAUCUAAGGGGCAGGCCUCUAUGGGGGCAGCCCCACAUCUGUGGGGCAGGGUGCAGGGCUCUAUGGGUCAGGGCUUUAUAGGGCAGCCCCACAUCUAUGGGGCAGGGCUCUAUGGGGCAGAGCUCUAUGGAGCAGCUGCACAUCUAUGGGGCAGGGCUCUAUGGGGCAGCCCCACAUCUAUGGGGCAGAGCUUUAUGGAGUAGCCGCACAUCUAUGGGGCAGCCCCACAUCUAUGGGGCAGGGCUCUAUGGGGCAGCCCCACAUCUGUGGGGCAGGGCGUAGGGCUCUAU